CUCAACUGUUGUAUUUGAUUUUAUCUGAUUUUAAUACAUGCUAGCUUAUAUGACUUUUAUUUAUAUAUCGCUUUGCCAUUAUCUAUUUUAAAAGACUUGCGACAUCGUGAAAACACGUCUAUUACCACGUCGCCAUCAAGGAACCCGUGGUCAUCAACACAUUUCGACUUCAGUCGAGAUUUUGAUUUGGGUCGAAUCAAUGUGCGCCCGAGUUUAGCAAGGUAAAUUAUUAAAAACGUGCCUAAAGAUUCUAGCGUAUUAUUACUUUAGGGAAGACCGUAAAAUUCACUAAACGGUCCUCCCAUAUUCUAAAUUAUUUCGAUAACCAUUUACUGAGGGCCCCGCGAUUUGUUUUGUUGGGCGAGGAUCAUCUCAUUAUUCAUUAAAAGGUCAAACCUAAAGGGAAUUACGUUUUCUAGUUAUUUGUUGUGUCUCUAAAAAUAAGAGAAUACUGCUUGACUAAUGUAAUAAAUUUGGGCUUUGGGGAAUUAGUGAACAAUUUAAAAAGAAACAAUGUCUAAGUAAUUUUGGGCCUGAAACUUGCCCAAUGCAAGCACACUACACGGACAGGCCUUGGGGAGGUUAAGGGGUCGAUUCUCUAAAGCUACCAAACACAAGAUUGGCUCCAAUUGCAUCCAAACUAACGCCUCAAUUAAUCAGCACGUUAUUAUACCAUAAUGAAUUAAAUACAAAUAAUCAUUUUAGUUGUCUAUCUACUGAAAUAACUCAAAUACCAUUACAGGUGACAAGUCAAGCCUGGUAUUAUAACCUUCAUUCAAAGUGUUUCAUAAUGCACUAACACUAAGAAGCUGGUCAUCAAAUACCUGUUGAGAUUACCAUUUGCAACAAAAUACAUGUUUAAAAGUAAACUACCAUUCCAAGAUUCAGUCUGAUUUGUAGUCCAUACUAUAUUAUACUAAUAACACAAAAGAUAAGCCAUCAUGAUGAAUUAAUUCAACAUACAAAGGGUUUAUCCAGUUUAAGACAAAUCUCAAAAAUCCAACACCAUUCUAUACCCUAAUCAUCAACUAUACAGUUAUAUAGCCCGGAUGGAUGUCUAAUGUAUGCAAUUUGAUUAAUACAACUAUGAGUAUUCAAAUAAGUAGAGGUGAAGAUGUCUAAGCUUGGUCUGAUUUUGAAUUACAAUUUCAGAACAACACACAAAACUUCAAUUGUAUUUCAUGUUCAAUAGGUGAAGUUACAUCAACCCAAGCUGAGAAUGUGUACCUGGAAAUCGCAAUACAGCGAAAUUGAGAAGCUAUCAGCAUAAUAUGUGUAGCAACAACAGUCAACGAGAACCAAAUCAACAGCAAACUCGAAUUUAACCCAGAAAAUAUACUCAAACCAAGACCCAAAUAGAUUUGAAAACCUAGCAGCAACAACAGACAACCAAAACAGACUGAAUGAACCCAAAAAUUGCUUGAAAUCAACAAUGAAUGACUCAGAAAUUUCAGUAACUAAUGAGAGAACCAAAAAAAUGAGAAUUGAUAACUAGAACGUCAAAAUUAGACUACAAUUUCUAACGAAAAAGUGAUUUUUUUUUUUGGAUUUUCUAUAGCUUUGUAUUUUUUUGGUUUUUUAAGAAGAAAAAUAGAUUUCAGAUCUAAUGUUCAAUCUAAAAUAUGGAAUUUAGUAUUUCUGGAAAGAUAAC
rnacentral:lncRNA from 1 species